rnacentral:rRNA from 1 species
UACAGAGGGUGCAAGCGUUAAUCGGAAUUACUGGGCGUAAAGCGUGCGCAGGCGGUUAUGCAAGACAGAGGUGAAAUCCCCGGGCUCAACCUGGGAACUGCCUUUGUGACUGCAUAGCUAGAGUACGGUAGAGGGGGAUGGAAUUCCGCGUGUAGCAGUGAAAUGCGUAGAUAUGCGGAGGAACACCGAUGGCGAAGGCAAUCCCCUGGACCUGUACUGACGCUAAUGCACGAAAGCGUGGGGAGCAAACAGG